rnacentral:tRNA from 1 species
GCGGACGUAGCUUAAGGUUUAGAGCAAGUAGAUUCCCAACUACCCAGUGCGGGUUCGAGUCCCGUCGUCCGCU